rnacentral:rRNA from 1 species
UACGUAGGGACCGAGCGUUGUCCGGAAUCAUUGGGCGUAAAGAGCGUGUAGGCGGCCACUUAAGUCCUGCGUGAAAUCUUGCGGCUCAACCGCAAGCGGUCGUGGGAAACUGGGUGGCUAGAGUGCGGGAGAGGAGAGUGGAAUUCCUGGUGUAGCGGUGGAAUGCGCAGAUAUCAGGAAGAACACCCGUGGCGAAGGCGGCUCUCUGGAACGCAACUGACGCUGAGACGCGAAAGCGUGGGGAGCAAACAGGG